ACUACGGGAGGCAGCAGUGAGGAAUAUUGGUCAAUGGACGAGAGUCUGAACCAGCCAAGUAGCGUGAAGGAUGACUGCCCUAUGGGUUGUAAACUUCUUUUAUCUGGGAAUAAAAUGUUCCACGUGUGGGAUGUUGUAUGUACCAUAUGAAUAAGGAUUGGACAACUCCGUUCCAGCAGCCGCGGUUAUACGGAGGAAUCGUACGUUAUCCGGAUUUAGUGGGUUUAAAGGGAGCGUUAGUGGAUUGUUAAGUCAGUUGUGAAAGUUUGGGGCUCAACCGUAAAAUUGCAGUUGAAACUGGCAGUCUUGAGUACAGUAGAGGUAGGCGGAAUUCGUGGUGUAGCGGUGAAAUGCUUAGAUAUCACGCAGAACUCCGAUUGCGAAGGCAGCUCACUGGACUGCAACUGACACUGAGGCUCGAAAGUGUGGGUAUCAAACAGGAUUAGAUACCCGUGUAGUC
rnacentral:rRNA from 1 species